GCUUAGCUCAGCUGGUUCAGAGCAUCUGCCUUACAAGCAGAGGGUCGGCGGUUCGAAUCCGUCA
rnacentral:tRNA from 1 species